UACGUGAGGGGGCAAGCGUUGUCCGGAUUUAUUGGGCGUAAGAGCGUGUAGGCGGUCAGGUAGGUCCGUUGUGAAAACUCGAGGCUCAACCUCGAGACGCCGAUGGAAACCAUCUGACUAGAGUCCGGAAGAGGAGAGUGGAAUUCCUGGUGUAGCGGUGAAAUGCGCAGAUAUCAGGAAGAACACCCGUGGCUAAGGCGGCUCUCUAGUACGGUACUGACGCUGAGACGCGAAAGCGUGGGGAGCGAACAGG
rnacentral:rRNA from 1 species